rnacentral:rRNA from 1 species
AGUGAACGCUGGCGGCAGGCCUAACACAUGCAAGUCGAGCGGCAGCGGGUCCCCGCGAGGGGAUGCCGGCGAGCGGCGGACGGGUGAGGAACACAUCGGAAUCUGCCUGGUUGUGGGGGAUAACGUAGGGAAACUUACGCUAAUACCGCAUGCGACCCUGAGUCGACGGACUUGGGGUGAAAGUGAGGGACCUUCGGGCCUCACGCGACCAGAUGAGCCGAUGUCGGAUUAGCUAGUUGGCGGGGUAACGGCCCGCCAAGGCGACGAUCCGUAGCUGGUCUGAGAGGAUGAUCAGCCACACUGGGACUGAGACACGGCCCAGACUCCUACGGGAGGCAGCAGUGGGGAAUC